UUUAAACGGCCGCGGUAUCCUAACCGUGCAAAGGUAGCGUAAUCACUUGUCUUAUAAAUUAAGACCCGUAUGAAUGGUUAAAUGAAUAUUUAACUGUCUCCUUUAACUAAUCAGUGAAACUGAUCUUUCAGUACAAAAGCUGAAAUACCAACAUAAGACGAGAAGACCCCGUGGAGCUUAAANUUUUUAACAAAAUAUUGUAAAGCAUAUAUUCUGCCAUAAAAUUUUUAGUUGGGGCGACUUUGGAGUAAAACUUAACCUCCAAGAAAAGGCACCGCCUACACCAAGGCCUACAAGCCAAACUACAUAGACCCAGUAUCAAAUACUGAUCAACGAACCAAGUUACCCCAGGGAUAACAGCGCCAUCUUCUUCAAG
rnacentral:rRNA from 1 species